rnacentral:snRNA from 1 species
CAAAGCUAGAAAGAUACAGUGAAGAUUAGCAUGGCCCUUGUACAAGGAUGACAUACAAAUUCAUGAAGCAUGCCACAUUUUU